rnacentral:rRNA from 1 species
CCUACGGGUGGCAGCAGUGGGGAAUAUUGGACAAUGGGGGGAACCCUGAUCCAGCCAUGCCGCGUGUGUGAAGAAGGCCCUCGGGUUGUAAAGCACUUUCAGUGAGGAAGAACGCCUGGUGGUGAAUACCCAUCAGGAAAGACAUCACUCACAGAAGAAGCACCGGCUAACUCCGUGCCAGCAGCCGCGGUAAUACGGAGGGUGCGAGCGUUAAUCGGAAUUACUGGGCGUAAAGCGCGCGUAGGUGGCUUGAUAAGCCGGUUGUGAAAGCCCCGGGCUCAACCUGGGAACGGCAUCCGGAACUGUCAAGCUAGAGUGCAGGAGAGGAAGGUAGAAUUCCCGGGGUAGCGGUGAAAUGCGUAGAGAUCGGGAGGAAUACCAGUGGCGAAGGCGGCCUUCUGGACUGACACUGACACUGAGGUGCGAAAGCGUGGGUAGCAAACAGGAUUAGAUACCCUUGUAGUC